UAGAGAAACAAAAAGAAUUGCAAGACUGCA
rnacentral:piRNA from 1 species